rnacentral:rRNA from 1 species
UGCCAGCCGCCGCGGUAAUACGGAGGGCGCAAGCGUUGUUCGGAAUCACUGGGCGUAAAGCGCGUGUAGGCGGCUUGGCAAGUUGGUUGUGAAAUCCCGGGGCUCAACCCCGGAACUGCAACCAAAACUGCUGAGCUUGAGUCUCGGAGAGGGUGGCGGAAUUUCCGGUGUAGAGGUGAAAUUCGUAGAUAUCGGAAGGAACACCAGUGGCGAAGGCGGCCACCUGGACGAUGACUGACGCUGAGACGCGAAAGCGUGGGUAGCAAACAGGAUUAGAUA